GGGCGGAUAACUCAGUGGUUAGAGUGCCAUCUUCACAUGGUGGAAGUCGAAGGUUCAAAUCCUUUUCCGCCCACCA
rnacentral:tRNA from 1 species